rnacentral:rRNA from 1 species
AUUGAACGCUGGCGGCAGGCCUAACACAUGCAAGUCGAACGGUAACAGGAGGAAGCUUGCCUCUUUGCUGACGAGUGGCGGACGGGUGAGUAAUGUCUGGGAAACUGCCUGAUGGAGGGGGAUAACUACUGGAAACGGUAGCUAAUACCGCAUAACGUCGCAAGACCAAAGAGGGGGACCUUCGGGCCUCUUGCCAUCGGAUGUGCCCAGAUGGGAUUAGCUAGUAGGUGGGGUAACGGCUCACCUAGGCGACGAUCCCUAGCUGGUCUGAGAGGAUGACCAGCCACACUGGAACUGAGACACGGUCCAGACUCCUACGGGAGGCAGCAGUGGGGAAUAUUGCACAAUGGGCGCAAGCCUGAUGCAGCCAUGCCGCGUGUAUGAAGAAGGCCUUCGGGUUGUAAAGUACUUUCAGCGGGGAGGAAGGGAGUAAAGUUAAUACCUUUGCUCAUUGACGUUACCCGCAGAAGAAGCACCGGCUAACUCCGUG